UACGGAGGUGGCAAGCGUUGUUCGGAAUUACUGGGCGUAAAGGGCGCGUAGGCGGCUGCUCAAGUCGGGUGUGAAAGCCCGGGGCUCAACCCCGGAACGGCACCCGAGACUGGGCGGCUCGAGACCGGGAGAGGAGGGUGGAAUACCCAGUGUAGAGGUGAAAUUCGUAGAUAUUGGGUGGAACACCGGUGGCGAAAGCGGCUCUCUGGCCCGGUUCUGACGCUGAGGCGCGAAAGCGUGGGGAGCAAACAGG
rnacentral:rRNA from 1 species